AUUUCUCUCUUAUGCCAUAAUAUCCUUGUUACAAGCGCUACAUUUUGGCAUUUAUACCCACCACUACAAUUGUUUUAAUGUUUUUUUUUUAUAAAACUAAAAGAGAAUAUGAGAGUGAAAGCAAGUGAUGCUUUUCAACAUAUGAGAGGGAGAGUAUACGAAACCCUAACAAUUGCCGUUGUUCAUCUCCACGCGAUGAAGCCACUUUUGUUGAUCUAGUUUUCCAGUUCUGAUCUGAGGGUUUGCCGUCACGAUUCAUCUUUGUACUACUGCAAGUGAUGUUAUUGCUGCCUAUGAUUGAGCUCCUGUGAACUGGUUCUUCAACUUCGAUCUGAAGUUUGCCACCGCCACAAGCGGCGCCGUUGUUGCUAGCCUCCAAUUGUGCUUCUGCGAUUUGGUUUUGUUAUUUUGUGAAUUAUUAAUUACUAAUUUGAUCUACUUCAUCUUUUGAUUUUUCCUUUCUCUUCAUAUUUUUAGAUCAAGUUCAUGCUCUAAUAGGAAGAAAUAGAGAAUGCAUGUUCUUUUUUCUUAUUGUGUAUUUUUACUUUGAUUGAUCUUUUGCGUCAUUGUUCUUGUUGACGAGGGAGCCAGAGGUGGUGGAAUUUUACCACACGUUCAUGAGGAGAGAACUGUCUCUACGCGAAUGCGGCUCCAACAGAAUCAUGGAGGCAGUGCCAGCUCUAGAAAAUGCACGUGACAUGAUCGAUGAGAUUGAGAACCGCUCAUCUCACUUGCUCACAGACAAGAUGUUCAAGUCAUCCAAUUAUCCUAGAGGCCUUAGAAUCUGGCCAGCUAAGUCCAGGUGGAAUAAUCAUUGAAGGAAGUGCUAGUAGCACUGCCAUUAGCAUCACCAUGGUUGCUCCUGCAUUCGCAUGCAAAUCCCACGUUAUUAUACCCAAUGAUGCCACCAUUGAGAACAUAGCCCUUGGGGCAACUGUUGAAAGAGUAAGACCAGUGUCAAUUACUCACAAAGAUCAUUAGAAGGGAAUCUAAAGAAAAUGUAGCAGCAGGCAUUGGUGGCAUUGUGUCUGGUAUUAGCAGUUUUCUUUAGGAAAAGAAUCCAAGGAUCAAGUGCUUCCUUAUAGAUCCUCCUGGUUCUAGUUUGUAUAAUAAGAUUGUGAGAUUGAUGAAGAGUGAAGAUUUCUUGGCCAAAAUUGGUCUAUCACGAGAGUGAAAUUUUCAAUUACUUGUUGAUGACAUGGAGCAGUACGAAGUACUUGAGCAAAUAAAAAAAGGUGCUUUUGGUUCUGCACUUCUUGUCAAGGAUCAGCUUGAGAAGAAAAACAUCCUGAAAAUAUUGUAGUGGAUGAUGUUAAUGGUGGAAGGUUGAUCUUCUAUGAUUUUGCAAAUAAGGGUUGGCUCAACUGUUUUAAAGAGCAUCUACCUGCACAAAGGAGAGAGAGAGAGAGAUGGCAAGAGCUGAACUUGGAUUCAAAAAGCCGUUAAGCAUUCACUGUCUUCUUUGUCCACUGCUAUAAGAGAGGAGGAAGGAAUAUAGAACUACUUAGAAGAGAAAGGGAAGAGAAAAAUGUCAUAUAUCUCUGUCCACUGCUAUAACAACUUCAGUUUGGCUGGUCCCCAAGCAUUCACAGCCACUAGAAGAUGCAUCACAACACCCUUUACUGCUAAAUCUGGAGGAUUUUCACUUAAUUCAAUACUUAAAGGUUGUGAAACCUGUAGCGGAAAAAGAGCCAUCGAAUGCCCUGGAUGGGAUGGGAAAGAAUAAGAAGAAUGGGAAUAUAUUUGAAAGAUAUAAGUGGACCUGGAUCUUGGAAACUAUGAGCGCCUUAUGGAUAUCAAGUUGACUCGUGAUAAUAACAUAACCACUGGGAAUAUUUACCAGGCAAUAAUUGAAAA